rnacentral:rRNA from 1 species
GAUGAACGCUGGCGGCGUGCCUAAUACAUGCAAGUCGAGCGAACAGACGAGGAGCUUGCUCCUCUAACGUUAGCGGCGGACGGGUGAGUAACACGUGGAUAACCUACCUAUAAGACUGGGAUAACUUCGCGAAACCGGAGCUAAUACCGGAUAAUAUAUUGAACCGCAUGGUUCAAUAGUGAAAGACGGUUUUGCUGUCACUUAUAGAUGGAUCCGCGCCGCAUUAGCUAGUUGGUAAGGUAACAGCUUACCAAGGCAACGAUGCGUAGCCGACCUGAGAGGGUGAUCGGCCACACUGGAACUGAGACACGGUCCAGACUCCUACGGGAGGCAGCAGUAGGGAAUCUUCCGCAAUGGGCGAAAGCCUGACGGAGCAACGCCGCGUGAGUGAUGAAGGUCUUCGGAUCGUAAAACUCUGUUAUUAGGGAAGAACAAAUGUGUAAGUAACUAUGCACGUCUUGACGGUACCUAAUCAGAAAGCCACGGCUAACUACGUG